AUUCCAGCUCCAAGAGCGUAUAUUAAAGUUGUUGCAGUUAAAAAGCUCGUAGUUGGAUUUCUGGCCCAAUGCGCCUGGCCCGCGGCAGUAAUGCCUGUGAGUGCCGGUGCGCGUUGGCCAUCCUUCUAGAAAACGUCUCUACCGUUAACUCGGCCGGAUUCGUGAUCUAGAUCUUUUACUUUGAAAAAAUUAGAGUGUUCAAAGCAGGCUUAUGCUGUGAAUACAUUAGCAUGGAAUAAUAAUCUAGGACUUCGGUUCUAUUUUGUUGGUUUCUAGAAUUGAAGUAAUGAUUGAUAGGGAUAGUUGGGGGUGCUAGUAUUGGCCGGCCAGAGGUGAAAUUCUUGGAUUCGGUCAAGACUAACUUAUGCGAAAGCAUUCACCAAGGAUGUCUUCAUUG
rnacentral:rRNA from 1 species